UCGAGAAUCUUUCGCAAUGGGCGAAAGCCUGACGAAGCGACGCCGUGUGUGUGAUGAAGUCCUUCGGGUUGUAAAGCACUUUCGCCUGGGAACAAGAAACCUUGGCUAACAUCCAGGGGAUUUGAGAGUAUCAGGUAAAGAAGCACCGGCUAACUACGUGCCAGCAGCUGCGGUAAUACGUAGGGUGCAAGCAUUAAUCGGAUUUAUUGGGCGUAAAGGGCGCGUAGGCGGGAAUAUAAGUCAGAUGUGAAAUCCCGGAGCUCAACUCCGGAACAGCAUUUGAAACUGCAUUUCUAGAGGGUAGGCGGAGAAAACGGAAUUCCACAAGUAGCGGUGAAAUGCGUAGAUAUGUGGAAGAACACCAGUGGCGAAGGCGGUUUUCUAGCUUAUACCUGACGCUGAGGCGCGAAAGCAAGGGGAGCAAACA
rnacentral:rRNA from 1 species